GAUUCAUAAUAACUUAACGAAUCGCAUGGCCUUGCGCCGGCGAUGGUUCAUUCAAAUUUCUGCCCUAUCAACUUUCGAUGGUAGGAUAGUGGCCUACCAUGGUUUCUACGGGUAACGGGGAAUUAGGGUUCGAUUCCGGAGAGGGAGCCUGAGAAACGGCUACCACAUCCAAGGAAGGCAGCAGGCGCGCAAAUUACCCAAUCCCGACACGGGGAGGUAGUGACAAUAAAUACUGAUGGAGAGCUCUUUUGGGUUUUCUAGUUGGAAUGAGUACAAUUUAAAUUUCUUAACGAGGAACAAUUGGAGGGCAAGUCUGGUGCCAGCAGCCGCGGUAAUACCAGCUCCAAUAGCGUAUAUUAAAGUUGUUGCAGUUAAAAAGCUCGUAGUUGAAACUCAGGCCUGGCUGGCCGGUCCGCCUCACCGCGAGCACUGGUUCGGCCGGGCUUUUUCCUUCUGGGGAGCCGCAUGCCCUUCACUGGGUGCGUUGGGGAACCAGGACUUUUACUUUGAAAAAAUUAGAGUGUUCAAAGCAGGCAUAUGCUCGGAUACAUUAGCAUGGAAUAAUAGAAUAGGACGUGUGGUUCUAUUUUGUUGGUUUCUAGGACCGCCGUAAUGAUUAAUAGGGAUAGUCGGGGGCAUCAGUAUUCAAUUGUCAGAGGUGAAAUUCUUGGAUUUAUUGAAGACUAACUACUGCGAAAGCAUUUGCCAAGGAUGUUUUCAUUAAUCAGUGAAC
rnacentral:rRNA from 1 species